UACGUAGGGUGCGAGCGUUGUCCGGAAUCAUUGGGCGUAAAGAGCGUGUAGGCGGCCAUUUAAGUCCUGCGUGAAAUCCUGCGGCUCAACCGCAGACGGUCGUGGGAAACUGGAUGGCUAGAGUGCGGGAGAGGAGAGUGGAAUUCCCGGUGUAGCGGUGAAAUGCGCAGAUAUCGGGAAGAACACCCGUGGCGAAGGCGGCUCUCUGGAACGCAACUGACGCUGAGACGCGAAAGCGUGGGGAGCAAACAGGG
rnacentral:rRNA from 1 species